rnacentral:rRNA from 1 species
CUGGCCUGAAAUCAGGUAGGACUACCCGCUGAACUUAAGCAUAUCAAUAAGCGGAGGAAAAGAAACUAACAAGGAUUCCCCUAGUAACGGCGAGUGAAGCGGGAAGAGCUCAAAUUUGAAAUCUGGCAGUCUUCGAUUGUCCGAGUUGUAAUCUAUAGAGGCGUUUUCCGUGCCGGACCGUGUCCAAGUCUCCUGGAAAGGAGUAUCAAAGAGGGUGAUAAUCCCGUACUUAACACGACCACCGGUGCUCUGUGAUACGUCUUCUACGAGUCGAGUUGUUUGGGAAUGCAGCUCAAAAUGGGUGGUGAAUUCCAUCUAAAGCUAAAUAUUGGCGAGAGACCGAUAGCGAACAAGUACCGUGAGGGAAAGAUGAAAAGCACUUUGGAAAGAGAGUUAAACAGUACGUGAAAUUGUUGAAAGGGAAACGAUUGAAGUCAGUCGUGUUCUUUGGAUUCAGCCAGUUCUGCUGGUCUACUUCCUUUGAACGGGUCAACAUCAGUUUUGUCCGGUGGAUAAAGGUAGUAGGAAUGUGACUUCUCCGGAAGUGUUAUAGCCUAUUAUCACAUACACUGGGUGAGACUGAGGACUGCAGCUCGCCUUUAUGGCCGACCUUCGGGUACGUUCGAGCUUAGGAUGUUGACAUAAUGGCUUUAAACGAC